rnacentral:rRNA from 1 species
UAGGGAAUCUUCGGCAAUGGACGAAAGUCUGACCGAGCAACGCCGCGUGAGUGAAGAAGGUUUUCGGAUCGUAAAACUCUGUUGUUAGAGAAGAACAAGGAAGUUAGUAACUGAACGUCCCCUGACGGUAUCUAACCAGAAAGCCACGGCUAACUACGUGCCAGCAGCCGCGGUAAUACGUAGGUGGCAAGCGUUGUCCGGAUUUAUUGGGCGUAAAGCGAGCGCAGGGGGUUUCUUAAGUCUGAUGUGAAAGCCCCCGGCUCAACCGGAGAGGGUCAUUGGAAACUGGGAGACUUGAGUGCAGAAGAGGAGAGUGGAAUUCCAUGUGUAGCGGUGAAAUGCGUAGAUAUAUGGAGGAACACCAGUGGCGAAGGCGGCUCUCUGGUCUGUAACUGACGCUGAGGCUCGAAAGCGUGGGGAGCAAACAGG